GUGCAGCAGGCGCGAAACUUUACAAUGUGCGAAAGCACGAUAAGGGAACUCUGAGUGCCUCCUAAGGAGGCUGUUCAGGUGUCUAAAAGCACCUGGAGUAAGGGCUGGGUAAGACCGGUGCCAGCCGCCGCGGUAACACCGGCAGCCCAGGUGGUAGCCACUUUUAUUGGGUCUAAAGCGUCCGUAGCCGGUUGAGUAAGUUCCUUGGGAAAUUUGGCUGCUCAACAGUCAAGCUUCCAGGGAAUACUGCUCGACUUGGGACUGGGAGAGGUCAGAGGUACUCCAGGGGUAGGGGUGAAAUCCAUUAAUCCCUGGGGGACCACCGGUAGCGAAGGCGUCUGACCAGACCAGGUCCGACGGUGAGGGACGAAGGCUAGGGUCGCGAACCGGAUUAGAUACCCCUGUAGU
rnacentral:rRNA from 1 species